UACGAAGGGGGCUAGCGUUGCUCGGAAUCACUGGGCGUAAAGCGCCCGUAGGCGGAUUGCUAAGUCAGGGGUGAAAUCCUGGAGCUCAACUCCAGAACUGCCUUUGAUACUGGCGAUCUUGAGUCCGGGAGAGGUGAGUGGAGCUGCGAGUGUAGAGGUGAAAUUCGUAGAUAUUCGCAAGAACACCAGUGGCGAGGGCGGCUCACUGGCCCGGUACUGACGCUGAGGUGCGAAAGCGUGGGGAGCAAACAGG
rnacentral:rRNA from 1 species